ACACUCUCUCUGCACACUGAACAAAUGAUGGCCAUAUUUCGAUUGAUUUACUGAUCUCCUUGGGCUGCCUCUUACAGGCAGCAGAAAAACCAGGUCCCCUUGUCAGAACUGAGUCUACUGAACUACUCCAAACUGGUUGGUAAGGGUCAAACUCCUAUGACUGUUGCAGGAAGAUUAAAGUCUGAAAUACAGCUUUGAUAAUGUACAGAUACAAGCCUACAUGUACAAAUGCAGAUUAAAGGGAUGUAGAAAUGGGAACAUCAAUAUAUGAGGAAAAGACAGCUGAUGCAACAGGAAGAGUUUUAUAUUAGCAACUUUUUGUACAAAUAAAGCAAUACCUGAAACGA